GUGAAUCAUCGAAUCUUUGAACGCAAAUUGCACUCUCGGGUAUUCCGGGGAGUAUGCCUGUUUGAGGGUCAGUUUAAAUAAAAAUCGGGGUUUUUGCCACCUUUGGCGGUGACGCGUCGGAAUUGGGUCGUCUUUACCUUUCUGUUAAGUGACUUAAAAUUAUUUGUAUGAUAUCUGAGAACGUAUUUAU
rnacentral:misc_RNA from 1 species